rnacentral:rRNA from 1 species
CAGCCGCCGCGGUAAUACGGAGGGUGCAAGCGUUAAUCGGAAUUACUGGGCGUAAAGCGCACGCAGGCGGUCUGACAAGUCAGAUGUAAAAUCCCCGGGCUUAACCUGGGAACUGCAUUUGAAACUGUCAGGCUGGAGUCUUGUAGAGGGGGGUGGAAUUCCAGGUGUAGCGGUGAAAUGCGUAGAGAUCUGGAGGAAUACCGGUGGCGAAGGCGGCCCCCUGGACAAAGACUGACGCUCAGGUGCGAAAGCGUGGGGAGCAAACAGGAUUAGAUACCCCUGUAGUCCCUGUCUCUUAUAC